CAUAAAGAUGAGGGACGAUUAGAAACUAAUCGUCACGUGGGAUGAUUAGUUUCUAAUCGUCCCUCAUGUUUUA